rnacentral:rRNA from 1 species
CAGUCGAACGGAACUGUUUUGAAAGAUUUCUUCGGAAUGAAUUCGAUUUACUUUAGUGGCGGACGGGUGAGUAACGCGUGAGUAACCUGCCUUCAAGAGGGGGAUAACAUUCUGAAAAGAAUGCUAAUACCGCAUGACAUAUCGGAAUCACAUGGUUUUGAUAUCAAAGAUUUUAUCGCUUGAAGAUGGACUCGCGUCCGAUUAGUUAGUUGGUGAGGUAACGGCUCACCAAGACCGCGAUCGGUAGCCGGACUGAGAGGUUGAACGGCCACAUUGGGACUGAGACACGGCCCAGACUCCUACGGGAGGCAGCAGUGGGGGAUAUUGCGCAAUGGGGGCAACCCUGACGCAGCAACGCCGCGUGAAGGAUGAAGGUUUUCGGAUUGUAAACUUCUUUUAUUAAGGACGAAACUUGACGGUACUUAAUGAAUAAGCUCCGGCUAACUACGUGCCAGCAGCCGCGGUAAUACGUAGGGAGCAAGCGUUGUCCGGAUUUACUGGGUGUAAAGGGUGCGUAGGCGGCUUUGCAAGUCAGAUGUGAAAUCUAUGGGCUCAACCCAUAAACUGCAUUUGAAACUGUAGAGCUUGAGUGAAGUAGAGGCAGGCGGAAUUCCCCGUGUAGCGGUGAAAUGCGUAGAGAUGGGGAGGAACACCAGUGGCGAAGGCGGCCUGCUGGGCUUUAACUGACGCUGAGGCACGAAAGCGUGGGUAGCAAACAG